UACGGGGGGGGCAAGCGUUGUUCGGAAUUACUGGGCGUAAAGGGCUCGUAGGUGGCCAACUAAGUCAGACGUGAAAUCCCUCGGCUUAACCGGGGAACUGCGUCUGAUACUGGAUGGCUUGAGAUUGGGAGAGGGAUGCGGAAUUCCAGGUGUAGCGGUGAAAUGCGUAGAUAUCUGGAGGAACACCGGUGGCGAAGGCGGCAUCCUGGACCGAUACUGACGCUGAGGAGCGAAAGCCAGGGGAGCAAACGGG
rnacentral:rRNA from 1 species